GUUCAACUUCAAGACAAGCAACCAUGAUUUCUAACUUAUGAAAUGCCGGAUGGCGAAUGGGAAUCAACGAGUUUCUUAAAGCUGGAUACCGAUAUCAACGAACUGGAGGUUUUGCCGGGAAAGACUACGUUCUGAGUGGUAUUUGCCGUGGUUUAAAUUACAGCAAUUUCUGAAUUGGUUCCGAACAUUCAAAAUUUUGCUAAACGCGAUCGGAACAACCUCUUGAUUCUCUUUCACGAUAAUAACUUGGAGUGUGCUCCUGCAGCGAGGAUUAUUCUGUAGUGCCGAUAGGAUGUUUGCAAUCAUCCGGGAAGAAGCAACACUGUUCCCGCCCUUCGGUAAAUUCUUUCAGCACAGACGGAUCGAGUUGAACUUGUAACCCGGAUUUCAAUCUUCGGUCGAAUUGAUCCUGCAGGCCUCGUUCCCCUUUCGAAUUUAUUGGCGAUGGUCAGACCAGAACGAUUCCGGUGUGUUGUCCGAUGCGCAUCUGCAGGAGAAAAGAGUUGGUUAGUUCCAAAAACUAUUCUAAGUUGAAACUCACCGGAAUAUUCUUCCUAGCGUAAUUUUCGAGGAAGGAGCAGGUAUUCACAGGUAUCGUAGGCUUUAAAUUCCCGAAAU